GGGUUCGUAGCUCAGUGGUAGAGCAAUCGACUGCAGAUCGAUAGGUCGCGUGUUCGACUCACGCCGGGCCCU